UGCCUCCACAGAGUUCCAACAUCACUGCUUCAAGUCUCUUCUGUCUUCCCUCCUGUUUCUGAAGCUAGCUCUUAGAUAGACUUCUCAGGAUGAGGUCUUCUUCCACAGUGGCCUUCGUCCUCUUGCUACUACUGCUGCUAUCCACAGCUCACGGGAUCCACUCGGAGAGGCAAAACCACAGAGGCUCUAAACACAAACUCCCUGAAAAGAAGGUUUCCAUGACAAGAAGAGGAACCGGUGCUGCACUGAUUCCGUGCAGAGAAAAUGGGCAUUGCUCUGAUACAGAUAAUGUAGGAGGAGCCGAUCAAAGGAUACCUAGAAUUCAUGAAGAUUACUAUGGGCCUGGAGAUCACAAGUCUAAGCAUCAUUAGAUUUUUCCUCCACGUUUUCCCCCUUUUUUUCUUUUCCUUUUUCGUUUUUUGGAGGGGUAGCUGCUGAGGACUAACUACAAAAGAGAUUUUUUGUAUUACUUUUGACACAUUUUAAGUUAAAUCUAGAUCUGCUCAACUUCUCUCAGAUGAAAGGUUCUAAUUUUUUUCUCUCUCUUGUCUUGUAAAGAUCCAUGAUAAGCCAAACAGCAGAUGAAAAUUUCUUGGAGAUAUUCUCACAUACAUAAUCAACAUAAUAAUAUGCAGCUUUGAUCACAAAACAACAGCUAGAAACCUUCUCUUCCUCGAUGAUGCCAGUCACAGAAGGCACAAGACAAGCUUUAACCGAGUGGGACAUGGAGAUCAAGUAGACAUAGAUGGAACUGUGGA